rnacentral:rRNA from 1 species
CCUACGGGGCGCAGCAGUGGGGGAUAUUGCACAAUGGGGGGAACCCUGAUGCAGCGACGCCGCGUGGGCGAUGGAGUGCUUCGGCAUGUAAAGCCCUAUCAGCAGGGAAGAAAAUGACGGUACCUGACUAAGAAGCCCCGGCUAACUACGUGCCAGCAGCCGCGGUAAUACGUAGGGGGCAAGCGUUAUCCGGAUUUACUGGGUGUAAAGGGAGCGUAGACGGUGAUGCAAGUCAGAAGUGAAAGCCCGCGGCUCAACUGCGGGACUGCUUUUGAAACUGUAUGACUGGAGUGCAGGAGAGGUAA